UACAGAGGGGGCAAGCGUUGUUCGGAAUCACUGGGCGUAAAGGGAGCGUAGGCGGCGUGGUAAGUCAGAUGUGAAAUCCCGGGGCUCAACCCCGGAACUGCAUCCGAUACUGCCGUGCUUGAGGGUUGGAGAGGUAGCUGGAAUUCUCGGUGUAGCAGUGAAAUGCGUGGAUAUCGAGAGGAACACUCGUGGCGAAGGCGAGCUACUGGACAACAUCUGACGCUGAGGCUCGAAGGCUAGGGGAGCAAAAGGG
rnacentral:rRNA from 1 species